CCCUAACAAUGACACCCCCACAUGUCGUACGCCUUGGGUCAACGCCAGAACCUGAGAAGGUGAACCCACUGGUGCCAAGGCAGCAAGGAGACGGCCUGUUGUGUUUGCAACCGUCUGAAUGGU
rnacentral:snoRNA from 1 species